AAAAGGGAAACGAGGAAACGUAUCAAUGCGUGUUGGUGUACGUUGGCAAGAGUGUGGAUGGAAAGAGACGGAGCAGGUUGGGAAAAAGAAAAUCGUCAGCGCGUUACUUUAACGAAGGAUCGUUGGAGCAUCGAGGACGAUCGUUCAUUUUGCGCGUACGCCAGCUUUUUUCUGGUGUUGGAAAUUACGCAACUGCUGGUUCAGGAGGUCGAUGAGGGUAGGGGGAGGGGGCGAGGAAGGGAUGGUGGUGGAAAAAGUAGGGAAAAAGUAGUAGGGAGCGGUGGAACAAGCGGGAGUGGAGAUAGGUCGACGUCGAGCGAAGGAAAAAGGAAGCGGGCGAGCAGGAAGGAAGCGGUGAAACUGAUACAAACGCGACGAUACGACGAAAUAAACGAAAGAGAGAGAGAGAGAGAGAAAGAGGAGAGAUCGA